rnacentral:rRNA from 1 species
GUGAACCUGCGGAAGGAUCAUUGUCGCGUGUCAGAGCCACCGGCGAACCAGUUUUGUCACUACAGCUUGCGGUGCGCGCCUCUGAGGCGGUGAGCGCUGACGUCCCGGCCACCGUCCCCGCACGCUUGGGGUCGGUCGAGUGGCGGCGGGGCCUUGGGGCGCGCGAUCGAGCGAGCAGACACCUUUCGGGCGCGGUGAGCGUCAAGGACUUGAAGCGGAUGGAGCGGUGACCUCUCCCGGUGCAUGGCCUCCUGGAUCGUUCGGCCGUGGCUUGCCGUGGGGAUUCGACCCGCGUCUCUUAAUUGAAUACGACUCUCGGCAACGGAUAUCUCGGCUCUCGCAUCGAUGAAGAACGUAGCGAAAUGCGAUACUUGGUGUGAAUUGCAGAAUCCCGUGAACCAUCGAGUCUUUGAACGCAAGUUGCGCCCGAGGCCACCCGGCUGAGGGCACGUCUGCCUGGGCGUCACGCCACCCUCGCUACCCCAUGGCCGUCGGUGCGGUCAUGGGUGACGCGGAGAUUGGCCAUCCGUGUCAGGCUGUGUGCGGUUGGCCCAAAAAUCUGGUAGCGGUGCGGCACGGCACGACGUGUGGUGGUUGAGAGGUGACCCAUCUCUGCUCUUACG